GUGAACGCCCUCACGGGCUUAUACUAUUCCAAACCUCUGUGAACCGUGCCCUUCGGGGCUAUUUUACAAACAUGGUGUAACGAACGUCAUAUAUCAUAACAAAACA
rnacentral:misc_RNA from 1 species